CUGCGUGCAUCCCGCGGAGGCUCCUGCUAGGUCCUAGAGCGGGCUGUGUGCUCAAGCCCUCUCCUGGCGACGCCUGCCCUGACAACUUCUAAAUGGCCAGCCCGCCCCUGGGGAAAAGCAGAGAGGAAUCCUCUUUGGACUCUUGCACCUCAAAGGAAUGGCUAAGAUCAUCCACGGAGAAUGCCAAGUGAAAAGACCACUGAAAGAAACCAGGGGACAAUAACAUUCAAGGCACAGGCAGACGAAAAGAUGCUUCAGAAGAAAACUGAGGAGAAGCUGCUCUAAAGGAAAGAGAAGACAGAAGAGGUAGGCACUACAGCAAUCACUGAGAAGAAUCCCCAAAACAAGUAGCAGUCAAACGCCAGAUCCAUCACCGGACAAGCAAG